rnacentral:rRNA from 1 species
AUUGAACGCUGGCGGCAGGCCUAACACAUGCAAGUCGAACGAGUGGCGGACGGGUGAGUAAUGUCUGGGAAACUGCCCGAUGGAGGGGGAUAACUACUGGAAACGGUAGCUAAUACCGCAUACCAUCGGAUGUGCCCAGAUGGGAUUAGCUAGUAGGUGGGGUAACGGCUCACUUAGGCGACGAUCCCUUGCUGGUCUGAGAGGAUGACAAGCCACACUUGAACUGAGACACGGUCCAGACUCCUACGGGAGGCAGCAGUGGGGAAUAGUGCACAAUGGGCGCAAGCCUGAUGCAGCCAUGCCGCGUGUAUGAAGAAGGCCGUCGGGUUGUAAGGUACUUUCAGCGAGGAGGCGGGACUCGCAGAGGAAGCACCGGCUAACUCCGUGCCAGCAGCCGCGGUAAUAC